GUGGGGAAUUUUGGACAAUGGGCGCAAGCCUGAUCCAGCAAUGCCGCGUGCAGGAUGAAGGCCCUCGGGUUGUAAACUGCUUUUGUACGGAACGAAAAGCCUGGGGCUAAUAUCCCCGGGUCAUGACGGUACCGUAAGAAUAAGCACCGGCUAACUACGUGCCAGCAGCCGCGGUAAUACGUAGGGUGCAAGCGUUAAUCGGAAUUACUGGGAGUAAAGCGUGCGCAGGCGGUUUUGUAAGACAGGCGUGAAAUCCCCGGGCUCAACCUGGGAAUUGCGCUUGUGACUGCAAGGCUGGAGUGCGGCAGAGGGGGAUGGAAUUCCGCGUGUAGCAGUGAAAUGCGUAGAUAUGCGGAGGAACACCGAUGGCGAAGGCAAUCCCCUGGGCCUGCACUGACGCUCAUGCACAAAAGCGUGGGGAGCAAACAGGAUUAGAAACCCCUGUAGUCC
rnacentral:rRNA from 1 species